NUGAACGACUCUCGGCAACGGAUAUCUCGGCUCUUGCAUCGAUGAAGAACGUAGCGAAAUGCGAUACUUGGUGUGAAUUGCAGAAUCCCGUGAACCAUCGAGUCUUUGAACGCAAGUUGCGCCUGAAGCCAUUAGGCUGAAGGCACGUCUGCCUGGGCGUCACGC
rnacentral:rRNA from 1 species